AGGCUCGUUGGUCUAGUGGUAUGAUUCUCG
rnacentral:piRNA from 2 species